rnacentral:rRNA from 1 species
ACAAAUUAGAGUGCUUAAAGCAGGCUACCUUCGCCUGAAUACUGCGUGCAUGGAAUAAUGGAAUAGGACCUCGGUUCUAUUUUGUUGGUUUUCGGAACCCCGAGGUAAUGAUUAAUAGGGACAGAUGGGGGCAUUCGUAUUGCGACGUUAGAGGUGAAAUUCUUGGAUCGUCGCAAGACGGACAGAAGCGAAAGCAUUUGCCAAAAAUGUUUUCAUUAAUCAAGAACGAAAGUUAGAGGUUCGAAGGCGAUCAGAUACCGCCCUAGUUCUAACCAUAAACGAUGCCAGCUAGCGAUCCGCCGAAGUUCCUCCGAUGACUCGGCGGGCAGCUUCCGGGAAACCAAAGCUUUUGGGUUCCGGGGGAAGUAUGGUUGCAAAGCUGAAACUUAAAGGAAUUGACGGAAGGGCACCACCAGGAGUGGAGCCUGCGGCUUAAUUUGACUCAACACGGGAAACCUCACCAGGCCCAGACACCGGAAGGAUUGACAGAUUGAUAGCUCUUUCUUGAUUCGGUGGGUGGUGGUGCAUGGCCGUUCUUAGUUGGUGGAGC